rnacentral:rRNA from 1 species
CACGUAGGGGGCAAGCGUUGUCCGGAUUUAUUGGGCGUAAAGAGCGUGUAGGCGGUUAGGUAGGUCCGUUGUGAAAACUCGAGGCUCAACCUCGAGACGCCGAUGGAAACCAUCUAACUAGAGUCCGGAAGAGGAGAGUGGAAUUCCUGGUGUAGCGGUGAAAUGCGCAGAUAUCAGGAAGAACACCCGUGGCUAAGGCGGCUCUCUAGUACGGUACUGACGCUGAGACGCGAAAGCGUGGGGAGCGAACAGG